CUGUUUAAUAAGCUUAAACAUAAACCACACAGGAAGUCAUGAAGUAAUCCAGUACAGAACACCGUGCCCAUUCACCCCGCUUUCUUCCUCUUGGCUCUGCCUUGGAGGAGCUCACUGGGAAGUUUUCCUGGAUCUUGGUGCAUUUUGCCCUCAUCUUUGUAAAUUGGCAGCAUCUACCCUUACUCGUACCAUCUUCCAUCAAGCAACCAUCACCUUUUCUUAAAGACAGACCGUGGAUCGCGCCAGGACAGGAGCUACUCACAUUCAUGGCCGUGUCCUCGGUGCCCGCCGUGGUACCUGACAUACGCUUCCGCACGGACAGAGACAGAGGGCUGACCAAAGGACUUGAGCAUCCGCGACUUUGGGAUCCACAGGGGUUCUGGAACCAGCAUGAAAAUGGUGUCUAUUGGCUUCUCAGGGGCAUUGUGAGAAAGGGGAAACUGGUGGUCAAAGAGAAAAUGAACUGGAGUAUUGAGAUCCCCUCAACAGUUCUGAGCUGAAGCAGGAAGAGAUUCAAGGCAGGACCGGAAACCCCAGCAUGCAUCCAGCCAAAACCAAAGUCUUGUUGUUGUUAUAGAGAAAAGGGAACGAUGUCUGAUUUUAACAUUCACACAUUCCAAGCCACAGUCUUCCAAGCCCUUCUCUUGCCGCCAAGCCUGCUGGUGGGAGCCAGGUCUACAGGAAAGUUUCCAGAAAGCAGAUUUUGGCAAAAGUUGCCUUUAAACCUGCAGAGAAUACAGUUCAGUUUUCUUUUUUUUUCUAAGAACAUUUUCAUUCCUUUUUGCCACAGAAUUUCAUGGACUAUGUUUAUUUUUCCUUCUCAGGUCAUAGUAUGUGGAUUUUUCAUAGAUGUGAGGAACAGACAUUUCUUUCCUUUUUUUUUCUUGUUUCCUUACAAAAUUCUUUCAGCUUGUAGGUGGAGUUGAAGUCUAAGAUUGUGUUUUAGAGAAUACUUUUUCUUCUGUUAUCAUUAAACUACUUCAGAGAAAAGAGGAAGUACCACAGUCUACUUUCUGACUGCUUUGAAAAGAGGCUAACGCGUUGAGGGAAAUGAAUGAUUGUUGAUUUUACUUACAGUCUUUGGACAAAUGGCCUAUGUGGCCCUGAGCCCUGGCACCCAGAGAGGGCAGUGGGCUGUGGGUCUGUUUCAGAUAGUUUUGUAUACCAAAAACACCCUGUGCAAGUGCACUGGUUUUAGAGGAAUGUCCAAGAAAAUUGCCCUCCUGCUCCUCACAACAUGUCAUUACGGAAAAAUAGAAGGCCGUACAUUCCAAUCUGAUUUUCAUUUAACUCUGCAAGCUAUGAAUUUUGCCAUGAGGUAAGAGGCUGAUUCAGAGCCCCAGAAUCCUUUUGGUGCCACAGACACUAUUUUAAAAUGGACAUUCCUUCAGGUUUCUCAGUAUGAUUCUGCCAGGGGCAUGGAAUAAGCAGGGCUCUGUCUGAUAAGAACUCCCAGUCCUGGUAAACAAGAACCGGGAUGCCUGGUGGCCAAAGUAACUGCCUUAUUUUUUAAAGGUUAGGAGUUCAAAUCUUGUGGGUUUGCACUUGAGUUAAAGUAUGCACGUAUCCUGCUUGGAGAAGCAAUAACAUUACACCAUGGAAUCUGGCCUACCCACAGCUAAGUUCUGGCUACAAUUAAUUAAACAAAUACUUCCUAUGGAAUUCUUUACCUUGUAGAUCCUGAACAAAGUGUCUACAUUCCAGAAGACGUAGGAAAGCUUUAUUUUCCAAGCUUCCUGCUCUCUACAGUGUAUAUGUACUUGAAUUCCACCACAUCGACUAGAGUUCAUACUUGACACAUUCUUUAAAUGUUGAUGUACCUGUAGCCUCAGGCCUCCUUUCCACUCUUCAAUUUCUUUUCUCCUGAUUUUCCGGGGAGGUAAUUUACAGAUUGAAAGGCAUGCUCUUUGUACUCAUGACCCAUUGGAAACAGACUCUGUUGGAAGAAAAUAUAACCUGUAACAGGGCCUAUGAUUUUAGUGAUUCAACCUUCAUAAUACGUAGUUUUUCUAUAGCAUUUUACUGUUUAUAAAGCACUUUACAUAUAUGAGCUCCUUUCAGCCUCAUAGCCAUGAGUUAAAGUUAAUAUUGUGCCCAUUUUGCGGACAAAAAAAAAACGAGACCCAGAGUUGUUAAGAGACUCAGCAAGUUGGUGUCAGAGCUGGUACUCCAGCUCAGACCUUUACAGCUCUAAAGGUUUUCAUCACUAUUGUGGAAUUGCCUCUAAUAGCAAAAAACUGCCAUAGAAUCACGUUCGUGUUCCAGAUUUUGUUGGUGGUCCCACUUUAUUGAGAUGUGCUUGGUGGCACUGCCAUCAUGGAAAGAGAAUAAAUACCGAGGCUCCCUGUAGAUGCUGAACACUUAAUAGUAUCAACAGUCGAAUUGACUUGAUUAAAUUAUCUGCUUCCCCAUUCCCUCCUGGACACCCACAAAUAAAGGGAAAUAACCAGCUCUGUGUGCCCUCUUGCUCCAAGAAAGACUGAAACUGGAAACAUCCCAGUAUUGUGACUUGAAGUUACCUCAACAGGAAGUUCUGUUUUUUAAAUUAAAACUCCAGUCAGUUUCUUUUUAGUUGUUCUUAUCGCCAGUGGGGGCUUGGGGCAAAUAGUUCCCAGGAAAGCUUUCGAUAUAUACGUGACAUGAAGACAAUAAUGAUACCUGCUCCCUACCUACUUGGCAAGCGUUGGGAAAAACAACCAGAUAAUGUCUAUCAUGUGCUUUGAAUGCCUAGAAAGAAAGAUAAGGUUUAUGUGCAAGGGUAUAAUUAUAUUGAGUCAGCAAUGACAUCAUUGUCUGUAUUUCACGUGUGUGGUUGUUGUCUAAGUCACUGCCGAAUAUAAUUUGGCUCUCAUGUUUGAUGUUUUAAAGACGUGAUGAUGCUACAAUAAAUUAGCAGAAGAGCAUAAGUUGGGAAGGGAAGAAGAAAAAUGGGCCAAAGGAAGGGAGAGAACUUUUACUGAGCUCCUACUGUGUGUUAAAUAAUUUACAUGCACUCUUCAUAACAAGAUUGCCACCAUUUUGCAGAUGAGAAAAGUGAGGCUGAGAGAGCCCAAGUAACUAGUCCAACAUCUCCCAGCGGGUAAACAGUAGAGACAGAAUUUGAACACAGAUCUGUCUGAUUUCAAAGGCCAUGUCCUUUCCACUACACCAACAUUCCUCAAAUUUCAUUAAUUCUCUGACACUUCACAAAGGAAAAAAAUUCUUACAGACCCCAGUUUGAGCAAUACUACAAGAAACCAUGGUAUCCUCCCUCUUGAGAACUCCAUUGUCAAGGAUCUUCACAGUACGACCCAGGACGGCUGCUGCUUAGGAAAGGUUUUAAUGGAACAAAGCAUUUACUACUAAUAGGACUUUAGCACUAGUGAUCUGUUAAUAUUAUAGAUGCAAGUUAAUUAUUUCCACCACAGAGAUGCCUCCGGAACUUCUGUCACGUUCAAGUAAAUGGCUGUGGCAUUUUCUGAGCUUAAUCUAAAUGAAAGUUUACCUGGAUGUCCCACACAAGCUUUGUAGAUUAAAAAUGUCACCCUCGGGGCCGGCCCCGUGGCCAAGUGGUUAAGUUCGCAUGCUCUGCUUCGGCCACCCAGGGUUUCACCAGUUCGGAUCCUGGGCACGGACAUGGCACUGCUCAUCUGAGUCAUGCAGAGGUGGCAUCCCACAUGCCACAACUAGAAGGACCCACAACUAGACAUAUACAACUAUGUACCGGGGGGGCUUGGGG
ensembl:lncRNA